GCAGCACAAGCGGUAGUCAUUUGGGAAGAAGCAAGUCUGGAAGAAAAGUAUCCUGAAGAGUAGCACCAAGAGGCUACUGGCUGUGGUUGAUGUAUGACAAGAGGGAAGAGAAGAGAAACAUCAGUGACCCCAGUGGAGUUAAGAGCAUGGAACAGGACAUCAUCAGGUCUGGCACCAUUCUUUGAUAUCAAGUCCCCUAUCAACUACCACAGUCUUUCAUGAAGGGUGUUACCUCUUCAGGAUAAUUCACUUGACCAGAAUCUCUUCUUCACACUCUACUUCUGAAGCAUCCAGCCUAAGGCAAAGAAGAUUUGAUAUCCUGACCAUGUUUCUGCUUUGCACACCUAACAAUUUCUAAUCUUCACAACUUUUCAAGGAGCAUGUUUGAUUAGAACAUGACCUUCUUUCCUGAUUACCCAAUGGACCACCAGACCUCCAGAGAAGUUGAUAUAAGCUGAAACCUACAUAUUAGAACAGAUUCCCUAAUGGGAAAAUACAAUCUCCCUUAAUAUUUUUUAUCCAGGGGAGAAGUCCAGCCCUUUGGACCAUAUGUAUUCCAUCAAAUUGUGUGCCCUUAUAAAAAACACAACCUUAA